rnacentral:SRP_RNA from 1 species
CACCGGCACCUUCACGGUAAGAAGUUGCAAAUCCCGUCAGGACCGGAAGGUAGCAGCGGUAGCAGCCGAUUAGGCGCUAGAGGAUCUGCUGGUGUGG